AGUGAACGCUGGCGGUAGGCCUAACACAUGCAAGUCGAACGGCAGCACAGUAAGAGCUUGCUCUUACGGGUGGCGAGUGGCGGACGGGUGAGGAAUACAUCGGAAUCUACUUUUUCGUGGGGGAUAACGUAGGGAAACUUACGCUAAUACCGCAUACGUCCUACGGGUGAAAGCAGGGGAUCUUCGGACCUUGCGCGAUUGAAUGAGCCGAUGUCGGAUUAGCUAGUUGGCGGGGUAAAGGCCCACCAAGGCGACGAUCCGUAGCUGGUCUGAGAGGAUGAGCAGCCACACUGUAACUGAGACACGGUCCAGACACCUACGGGAGGCAGCAGUGGGGAAUAUUGGACAAUGGGCGCAAGCCUGAUCCAGCCAUACCGCGUGGGUGAAGAAGGCCUUCGGGUUGUAAAGCCCUUUUGUUGGGAAAGAAAAGCAGCAGGUUAAUACCCCGCUGUUCUGACGGUACCCAAAGAAUAAGCACCGGCUAACUUCGUG
rnacentral:rRNA from 1 species